UGCAAAUAUCAAAUGUUAGCAUGAGCCAAA
rnacentral:piRNA from 1 species